UUAAUUCAAUCGUAUAGAGUUGAAACGUUUGCCUACGUUUGCCGCUAGGGGCGCUGUUCCAACUGCAUACAAAAUUGAAUUA
rnacentral:pre_miRNA from 1 species